rnacentral:rRNA from 1 species
AUUGAACGCUGGCGGCAGGCCUAACACAUGCAAGUCGAGCGGUAGCACAGAGAGCUUGCUCUCGGGUGACGAGCGGCGGACGGGUGAGUAAUGUCUGGGAAACUGCCUGAUGGAGGGGGAUAACUACUGGAAACGGUAGCUAAUACCGCAUAACGUCGCAAGACCAAAGUGGGGGACCUUCGGGCCUCAUGCCAUCAGAUGUGCCCAGAUGGGAUUAGCUAGUAGGUGGGGUAAUGGCUCACCUAGGCGACGAUCCCUAGCUGGUCUGAGAGGAUGACCAGCCACACUGGAACUGAGACACGGUCCAGACUCCUACGGGAGGCAGCAGUGGGGAAUAUUGCACAAUGGGCGCAAGCCUGAUGCAGCCAUGCCGCGUGUGUGAAGAAGGCCUUCGGGUUGUAAAGCACUUUCAGCGGGGAGGAAGGCGAUAAGGUUAAUAACCUCAUCGAUUGACGUUACCCGCAGAAGAAGCACCGGCUAACUCCGUGCCAGCAGCCGCGGUAAUACGGAGGGUGCAAGCGUUAAUCGGAAUUACUGGGCGUAAAGCGCACGCAGGCGGUCUGUCAAGUCGGAUGUGAAAUCCCCGGGCUCAACCUGGGAACUGCAUUCGAAACUGGCAGGCUAGAGUCUUGUAGAGGGGGGUAGAAUUCCAGGUGUAGCGGUGAAAUGCGUAGAGAUCUGGAGGAAUACCGGUGGCGAAGGCGGCCCCCUGGACAAAGACUGACGCUCAGGUGCGAAAGCGUGGGGAGCAAACAGGAUUAGAUACCCUGGUAGUCCACGCCGUAAACGAUGUCGAUUUGGAGGUUGUGCCCUUGAGGCGUGGCUUCCGGAGCUAACGCGUUAAAUCGACCGCCUGGGGAGUACGGCCGCAAGGUUAAAACUCAAAUGAAUUGACGGGGGCCCGCACAAGCGGUGGAGCAUGUGGUUUAAUUCGAUGCAACGCGAAGAACCUUACCUGGUCUUGACAUCCACAGAACUUUCCAGAGAUGGAUUGGUGCCUUCGGGAACUGUGAGACAGGUGCUGCAUGGCUGUCGUCAGCUCGUGUUGUGAAAUGUUGGGUUAAGUCCCGCAACGAGCGCAACCCUUAUCCUUUGUUGCCAGCGGUCCGGCCGGGAACUCAAAGGAGACUGCCAGUGAUAAACUGGAGGAAGGUGGGGAUGACGUCAAGUCAUCAUGGCCCUUACGACCAGGGCUACACACGUGCUACAAUGGCAUAUACAAAGAGAAGCGACCUCGCGAGAGCAAGCGGACCUCAUAAAGUAUGUCGUAGUCCGGAUUGGAGUCUGCAACUCGACUCCAUGAAGUCGGAAUCGCUAGUAAUCGUAGAUCAGAAUGCUACGGUGAAUACGUUCCCGGGCACU